CAAGUGCAGGAACGAGUGAAAAUAUUACAGAGACAUCAAAGUUAUUGGGGUUUGUGGAGUUGUUGAUGCCCAUCAAAUUAUCUUUUUCAUUGUUACCCAGGUUUAGAUUUCCUGACCUAAUUGACUUGGCUGUUUAAGUUUCUUUGUUUGGUUUGUCAAGAAGUGCUUGUCAGAGCCGGAGGCCUGUUAUUUCUUUUACUUUGAUGCUUUCCUAGUGCCAGAAGACAGCCCCCACCAGUUGUGUGAAUUAGCUCUCUUUUAAAAUAAAUUAGGCAUGAUAUCGGUACCAUUUAUAUUAAGAUAUCACGAUAAAUUUAAUGAAAUCAAUUGAUUGUGGAAUAAAAAGGUGGUAUUAUGAUGUUGCCUAGUUAACAAAUGUUUUUUUUUUUCUGUAAAAUCUGAGUGCAAUAAUCUCCAAUUGUGCAUCCAUCCAGUUGACUAUUUUCUUAUGUAGUACUUGUGAAAGACUAAAGCAUCACACUUGCUCUUUUUAUGACUGUCUUCUAUUUGCUCUCUGAAUUCUAAAUUCCAACUGCCACAACAAAGGGCAUAUGCAUAAAAUUCUCAGAUGCUCAAAUGUAAGCCAGGCUUCGUGGGGGAAAGUUAAAGAACAGGGAAUAAUCUAUUGGCAGGUGGGACAUUCUUUUCUUCCUGUGAGGAUUAAUGCAUCAUGAAAGCCAGCAUGAAGCACUAGUAGAAAAGGUGUAGGAAAGUGGAUGCAAGCACAAAUUUUAUGAGUUGUCACAUUAAGCCCGUUGAUCAUUAAAGGCAUAGUGGUUGGUUGUGGCUUACAUCAAAUAGAGGUUUUAUGCUUUAGAGGCUAUCAAAAUCUCCAUGAAGCAGACAAAGAUGAGUGGGUGCAAGCUUGUUGGCUUGAAUUUUUGGAGACAUACGAGAGAAGUCAGAAUUGAAAGAAGAUGCUUGGAGAAACUGCAGAAUGAGUUGAGGUCGGUGAAGCUGGCAUCAAAUGAAAGAACAGAAAAGAAAUUGAAACAAUUUAAAGUUGGGUUAUAAAAUUAUAGGCAUUUCCUAGUCUAUGGCAAACUUUUGGUUUAUGUGAUAAUUGAGUGAUGGGUGGCUCAUUAUGCAUCGGUUGAAUGUGUAGAAAUUGAAACUAAAGAAAUUAUUGAGGCUGG